ACCGCUGAAGGCAUCUAAGCGGGAAACCCACCUGAAAACGAGUAUUCCCUAUCAGGGCCGUGGAAGACGACCACGUUGAUAGGAGGCGUGUGGACGUGCAGCAAUGCAUGAAGCUUAGCCUUACUAAUAGCCCGAUUGGCUUAAUCGU
rnacentral:rRNA from 1 species